AAGAGAACAUAGAAAUGAAAGAAGCUGCUAACUAUCUUUUAAAGCGGUUAAAUUCCGUUUUUCUCUUA
rnacentral:tRNA from 1 species